rnacentral:sRNA from 1 species
UGCCUUAACCGUCUGGGAAUGCAGCCCAAUAGGUCUCAGCCUCAUUUUACCCAGCCCCUAUUCAAGAUGGAGUUGCUCUGGUUCACGUGCCUCUGACAUUUCCAAUAAGGAUGGACCUAUCUGGAGGGUACAGGAGCCUGGUUUAUGUGAACCAUGAAAAGCAGCUUCCUGAGAGGAAAAGAACCAAAUUCAUUGCCUGUGAUUUUCUGACCGAGUGGUUAUACAACCAAAAUCCAAAGAGGGCAGGGGAGCCAUUCACAGAAUUUUUCUCCAUUCCAUUUGUGGAGGAGCGGCUAAAGCAACACCCACGGCCGCCAAUCCCACUCUCGCUCCUGCUGACAGAAGAGGAAGCAGCCCUCUACAUUCAAUCCUUCUGGAGAGCCUGUGUGGUUCGCCGUGAUCCUGAGAUUCAAGAACUGCGUCAGUGGCAGAAGAAACUUCGCGAGGCCAAGCACAUUCACCAGCGAGUCAAAAUUUUCUGGGCCAAGCAAGAACAAAAAGUGAAAUGCAAAAUGGAGGACGAUGCAGUACCUGCAGCCAAGAUGAAAAUUCCAUCAUCUUAACCAUAGCUAAGACGUAUCUUUGCCCAUUCGAGCACAAGUUACCUUGUGCAAGGAAAAUGUCCAAAUGAUGCUCUCUCUCUUGUGAUUUCUUUAACAAGACUUGGAACAUGUGAAAAUGGAAU